rnacentral:rRNA from 1 species
CAUACCAAUCGUAUCCUAGAACUAGGAGUCAGUUCGGCUGGAUUGGAUACAGGUGUUGCAUGGCUGUCGUCAGCUCGUGUCGUGAGAUGUCGGGUUAAGUCCUUUAACGAGCGCAACCCUCAUUGCAUGUAAUUUUUUCAUGCGAGACUGCCCUGGUUAACAGGGAGGAAGGUGGGGAUGACGUCAAGUCAGCAUGGCCCUUACACCUUGGGCUACACACGUGUUACAAUGGCCGGUACAAUAAGUCGCAAUACCGCAAGGUGGAGCUAAUCUAUGAAAACCGGUCCCAGUUCGGAUUGGGGGCUGAAACUCGCCCCCAUGAAGUUGGAAUCGCUAGUAACCGUGAAUCAGCACGUCACGGUGAAUACGUUCCCGGGUCUU